GUUCUCACUUCAGCAGCACAUACACUAAAAUUGGAACAAUACAUAGAUUUGCAUGGCCCCUGCACAAGGAUGACAUGCAAAUUCGUGAAUUGUUCCUUAUUUUC